rnacentral:rRNA from 1 species
CCUACGGGAGGCAGCAGUGGGGAAUAUUGCGCAAUGGGCGAAAGCCUGACGCAGCGACGCCGCGUGAGGGAUGACGGCCUUCGGGUUGUAAACCUCUUUCAGCAGGGAAGAAGCGAAAGUGACGGUACCUGCAGAAGAAGCACCGGCUAACUACGUGCCAGCAGCCGCGGUAAUACGUAGGGUGCGAGCGUUGUCCGGAAUUAUUGGGCGUAAAGAGCUCGUAGGCGGCCUGUCGCGUCGGAUGUGAAAACUCGGGGCUUAACCCCGAGCCUGCAUUCGAUACGGGCAGGCUAGAGUUCGGCAGGGGAGACUGGAAUUCCUGGUGUAGCGGUGAAAUGCGCAGAUAUCAGGAGGAACACCGGUGGCGAAGGCGGGUCUCUGGGCCGAUACUGACGCUGAGGAGCGAAAGCGUGGGGAGCGAACAGGAUUAGAUACCCUGGUAGUCCACGCCGUAAACGUUGGGAACUAGGUGUGGGCGACAUUCCACGUCGUCCGUCGCGCGAGCUACGACAUUAACGUUACCCGUCCCGUCGGGAGGUACGGCCGGCGACGGACGUAAACCUACAAACGGAAGUUAGACGGCGUGAGACGUGCCGAACGGACGACGACGAGGGAGUAGG